AUAUAAAUACGUAUACACGUGGAGACAAGAAUCCGUACAAAAAAACAAUUUUGGACGUAUACGUUAAUGUUUACUGUUCACUAUUUGAGUAGCUUUCCAUGAUAAAUAAAUAAAUAAAUAAUAAAAAACAAAAAAAUAAUAAUAUAAUAAUAUAAUAUAAUAAUAAGCAAUAAUUGAGUAGGCAUGUCACGUGUUAGGGUGGCCCAUAGGCCAUAGCUAGCAAAAGAUAAUAAUAAUAAUAAUAAUAAUAAUAAUAAUAAUAAUAAGUAGUGUUACGUAUCUUUUAAAAUAUUUUUUUACGUGAAUUUAAAUACGGACAUAAAUAAUAUAAAAAUUUAAAUUAAUUCGUACAUAUUCUAUUAUUA
rnacentral:lncRNA from 1 species